ensembl:lncRNA CCDC26 CCDC26 long non-coding RNA
ACAGUGCUACUGGCCCAUAAUCAGGCAACUGCAGAGUCUUAGGGGGUUAUCUAAUGUAGUCUUGGGGUGGCUGGAUAGACUUCCCAAAGAAGGUGAUGCCGAAGCUGAGGUCGGAAAUUACGAAGAUCAGCUAUCAAACUUGGAAAUCAUGUCUUAGAGAUCAAGGAGCCAAGAGAUGAGACAAGCCUGGGUUCCUAGGUGAUAGGGUGUGGCUGUGUCCCCACCCAAAUCUCGUCUUGAAUUGUAGCUCCCAUAAUCCCCACAUGUUGUGGAGGGACCCUGUGGAAGGAAGGCCUGAGGAGAGAAGACACAUAGUCAUGCUGACUAAACCAGAUCACCUAGAAUUACCAAAUGGAAAGGACACUGUUGUGUCUACAGCACCAGCUGGAUGAGCAGUUGAACAUGUGAAUUCUCUCGUUCGCACCAAGCCACAGCUGACUGGACACCAAGGCUAAGCAUCUGAUUGAAAAGCGGUCCAUAGAUUAGGAGGCUGUGACUGGCAUGACCUGAGACUAACCGAGGGACCAAGGCAAUGAGAAUCCUCAAUAGGGAGUCCAUGAUUAGUAAAAUAAUAGUCAGGGUUGACCCACUUGGAAGCUGAACCCAGAGGCCCCUAGGUCGAGUCAGGACUGGGACAGAGAGUGUGGUCCCCAGAUAAGCUGAAGUUAUGACAGGGCUGGCUGGUUGCGAGGGUCUAACAGACAGGCAGAAGUCAAUAGAGAUGUUAUAAUUGGGAUUUUCUGAGAUAUUUGAGACUCACAUAUACAUACAUACACACACAUACACACACACACACACAGAGAGAGAGAGAGAGAGAGAGAGAGAGACAGAGAGAGACAGAGAGGCUUCAGGGCCUAAUUCUAGCCCAUUUAAUAUAGCUUCUCUUUAGAAAAGGCUUUGCUUGUUGUAUAUGGAGGAUAUAGAGGAGCUAUAUGGAGAACAAAGAGGAGCACAAGUUUAGGAGUACAGGUUCUAAAAUUAUUCCGCCUGAAAUUAGAUUCCACCUGUGUGACCUUGGAUUGUGCCUGCAGCCUGGCCUGUUGCCCACAGCGGUCUACCUGCCACACUGGGAAAGAUCGAGCAGAGACAGAGAAGAAAAGGAGGCUCCAUUUUUCAGGCUGCUCUCCCGCAGGCUCAUGUUUUGUGUUCAUGCCAGGCAGAGAACACAAAAUGUUCCAAUAAAUAAGUAUCAAAGGUUAGUGGUGAAAAUGAAGGAGGAGGAGGCAUUGCGUGAAAAACUAAACAUGCAAAAUAUUACACACAAAGAGAACCAAAAUGCAGGUUCACUGGAAAUGAUAGACAAUAUGUUAAAACAAGAGGAGAGAAGAGAGCUGAAAUAAUCAAAUGGAAACACACAAUUUAGGGCUAAGAUCUUGUUGUGUUCAGCCACAAAUGAUGGCCAGCAGUGAGGAAUCUGUGUGUUCUCCACACUCUUCGCUCCUGGGAAGUCAACUCACAUGGACCAUGAUAUCAAUAUCUGCUCCUUCCCCUAAUAUCUGUUUGACCUUGGGUCAGUUACUUAAACUUCCUAAGCCUUAGUUUCUUUGUCUGGAAAAUAGGGAUAGUUAUACCUACCACACAACCACUUUGUAAUGAAUAUGUUGGAAAUUAUAUGCAAAUUGGCUUCCGUUGGUGUUUGGAACAUAGUAGGUUUUUAACUGGAAUAUAAUAGCUACCAUUAUCAGUAUCAUCAUAUUAAUUUAUAUUUCCAUCUUCAGCCCUUAACCCAGGAUCUUCAGUAAAUGUUGAAUUCUCAAAUUUGUUAAAUUCACUUGUCUAUACUAAUAUUUUACUCUAGGUUUCUUAGAAUAUUCUAGAUAAUAUUAUUAUGUAGAAUAUGUUAUGUAAGCUUCAUCUUAUCUGUAAAUAUAGUUUUACUUUUUCCUUUCUAAUUUUUAUGUCGAUUACUUCUUUUUCUUGGCUUAUUGAAUUGGCUAGGAUUCCCGUACAGUGUUGAAUACGUGCAGCAAGACUGCACAUCUUGCCUUGUUCCUGGUCCCACAGAGAGAAUAUCCAGUACUUCACAAUAAGUAUGUGUUAAUUGUAGAUUUUAUUAGAUUGAGGAAGUUCCCUUUCCUUUCAAGUCAGUCUUUUUAUUUUAAACAUGUAUUGAAGUUUUGUCAAAUGUCUUCAUCUAUUGGAAUAAUUAUACAUAUCUCUUUUUUAUUCUGUUAAUAUUACAUUUCAAUCUUCUGUCUACCUAAAAUCCCUAGAAUAAUCUCCAUUUGGCUAUGAUGUGUUGUGCUUUUAUAUAUUACUGAAUUCUAUAUGCCAAUAUUAUUAAAAUUUUCUGUCUUUAUGAGAAA